rnacentral:lncRNA from 1 species
UAGAUUCGAAAAACUAAAGUUUACUACCCUCAGUAAACUUUUAUUAGGGGUAGUAAACUUGCAAAAAAAUAUUUUCAAUGCCAUAAUACACACUAAAAUAGAGGAAAAACAACCUAGAUACGAAAAAAUAAAGUUUAUUACCCCCAGUAAACUUAUACUGGGGGUAGUAAGCUUGCAAAACAAUAUCUCCAAGGCCAUAAGCACACAUUAAAACGGAGAAAAAUCAACUUAAAUGCAAAAAUAAAAUUUACUACCCUAGUAACUUUUACUGGGGGUAGUGAACUUACGAAAAAAUAAAGUUUAUUACUCCCAGUAAACUUAUACUGGGGGUAGUAAGCUUGCAAAACAAUAUCUCCAAGGCCAUAAGUACACAUUAAAAUGGAGAAAAAUCAACUUAGAUGCAAAACUAAAAUUUACUACCCCUAGUAAACUUUUACUGGGGGUAGUAAACGUCGCUUCACUCAAAACCUUCACAGAUCCGGCAUCUCUGCAGCAAUCCGCCGUCGAGGAGAUUGGCAGUCACUUCACUCCAAACCUUCACAGAUUCGGCCACACCUUCACAGAUUCGGCCACACCUUCUCCAAUCUCUGCAGCAAUACACCGCCGACGACAACAUCUCCAUCCUCACCAAGUCUACCGUCGAGGAGAUCGUUGUCUCCCUGCCUCCUUCAUCCGCCGCCGCUCUUUUUCUGGUCAAUGUCGGCCUUGUCUUCGUGAUCGGAUUCGGAUCCCAUGCCGACCGAUAACGACGAGGCUGCUAGACCUUACAGAGGAUGUGGUGGAGCGACUCAUCAGAGGUUGCUCGAUCUCGACCGUCGUCGUCGGCGAUGCCUGAUGAGAGAGAGAGAGAGAGAGAGAGAGAGAGAGAGAGAGAGAGAGAGAGAGAGAGAGAGAGAGAGAGAGAGAGAGAGAGAGAGAGAGAGAGAGNNNNNNNNNNNNNNNNNNNNGAGAGAGAGAGAGAGAGAGAGUUUUGAUCGGGAUAAAGAGAGGAGAAAGUGAGAAACAGAGAAAGAGAGUUAAAUGAGGUCAAGGGUAAUGACGUCUUUUUAUUAGAAUUCAUUGGAAUGGGGUUGGUAAAGAGAUUUUCAUUGAAAUUGGCUAAAAUGAAGUUAAAUUAGUAGUAAAUGGUCAUUUACUCCACAUGAUAAAACAAAAUACAAAUGGUACGUUUACUUAUUUGGAAUAAAAUUCAUCAAGAAUAAAAGACGGAAGGAAUGAGAGACGAAAUGGAACAGUAUGUGAAGAUUUCGAUUCCAUUGAGUUGUUUACUUACCACAUGGAAUUAGAACAUGAAUGUAAUUAAUUACUAUUUUAAUUACUAAAAUACCCAUGAAAAAAAUAAGCUACAUAUUUCGAUCACUUUCAACACAAUUUGUUCCUUAAUUAUAUGUUGAUCUAAUUUUGUUUGUCGUUUUGAUUGUCUCAGUUGAUAAGUUAUGUAUAAUCGACAAACCAAAGGGACUAUUUAUAUUCAGUGUAUUAAUUGUAAAUUUGUAAUCAUGUGGUUACAUAUUAAUAAUAUAAUACAGAGGCUACACGUGCGCUUGUGUAUAUUCAAUCUCGUCCUUGUAUAAACUCUCUUCUACCAUGAUUUAUCAAAAUCAUUUGGACCUAGUACCAGCAUUUUGGGUGUAUCUCAAACUGCAAGUUGGAAGGACUGAACAACAAAAUUAAGGCAUCAUACGUUUAUACAUUUUAGUAAUAUUAUAUUUAAAUCAAGUAAGCAAUUUUAUAAAUACAAAAAAAAAAAAAAAAAAUCUAAACAACUUCCACAAAUAAUAUAUUAUUAACAUAUAAAAAGAGAGCCUUUAAGAAAAAAAUUUGAAAUUAUUAGCAUCUUAAACAAAUUCCACAAUAUUAUUAGCAUAAUAAAAUUAACAAGGGUAUUUUCAGAAUAAAAGUUCAUUCCUGAUGGUAUCAUUCCUACUCUCAUCUCCUCCUUUGGUAUUACAAUUCAGGGUUGUCAAGAAAUCGAUUCCUUAUUAAGAGGUGGGACCCACACAUAUUCCAAUUCCAUUAUAUGUAAGUAAACGCUUGAAUUCUCCUCUGCC